GGAUGAGGCCUUAUCCGUGACCAUGCAGGUCCCACUCCACAGCUGAGUUGAAAUUCACUUCACAUCACAGGCCACAUGGAGUUCACUGGGAAAAUUCGUCCAUUCAAUCCACGGCAGACGUGUCCAGAGUAUUCCUCUCGGUUCAUUCUAACCUUAGACAC